CCGCCUGGGGAGUACGGCCGCAAGGUUAAAACUCAAAUGAAUUGACGGGGGCCCGCACAAGCGGUGGAGCAUGUGGUUUAAUUCGAUGCAACGCGAAGAACCUUACCUGGUCUUGACAUCCACGGAAGAAUUCAGAGAUGGAUUUGUGCCUUCGGGAACCGUGAGACAGGUGCUGCAUGGCUGUCGUCAGCUCGUGUUGUGAAAUGUUGGGUUAAGUCCCGCAACGAGCGCAACCCUUAUCCUUUGUUGCCAGCGGUCCGGCCGGGAACUCAAAGGAGACUGCCAGUGAUAAACUGGAGGAAGGUGGGGAUGACGUCAAGUCAUCAUGGCCCUUACGACCAGGGCUACACACGUGCUACAAUGGCGCAUACAAAGAGAAGCGACCU
rnacentral:rRNA from 2 species